rnacentral:misc_RNA from 1 species
GAUGAAGAACGCAGCGAAAUGCGAUAAGUAGUGUGAAUUGCAGAAUUCAGUGAAUCAUCGAAUCUUUGAACGCACAUUGCGCCCCUUGGUAUUCCAUGGGGCAUGCCUGUUCGAGCGUCAUUUGUACCUUCAAGCUUUGCUUGGUGUUGGGUGUUUGUCCAUUCUCUUGCAGAGGGACUCGCCUUAAAGUAAUUGGCAGCCAGUGUUUUGGUUUUGAAGCGCAGCACAAGUCGCGAUUCAAAGCUAUACGCCCGCUUCCACACGCCUUUUUCACUUUUGACCUCGGAUCAGGUAGGGAUACCCGCUGAACUUAAGCAUAUCAAUAAGCGGAGGA